UUUCCCCUGUCCACUUUGAUGACUUCUAGUUAUAGGAAGGAUCAGCAUUUUGAAGGUUUAGUGCCUGGCCACUGAGCCAGUCACACCACACCGGGUGACUUGGCAACCCGAUGUAGCUAAUCUCUAGACCACCAUGUGAACUCAAGAAUAGAAGAAUCCAGAACAGAAGUCUCAGCUAUGCUAAGGAUGCCCUGAAGUAGACUGAUCAACACUUGGUGUUUGUGGAUGAUUAGCGUUUGUGGAGAGCUGGAAUGUUGCUCGCACACUAUCUUGAGCUAUCUUUAGCUCCAUCGGCAGUCAUUCAUUGUGGACCUCAGUGCCUGACCUCAAUCCUGUGACAAUCCACUAGCUUUCACCAACCCAAAAGAGAAAAAAAAUGUGAUCAGACAUUAUCUGAGGCCUGUGGCAGAGACUGCUCUGCUUACCAACGUCAUUUGGAGCCUCAUUUGGUGUCGGAAGUUUUG